rnacentral:rRNA from 1 species
UGGGGGAUAUUGCUCAAUGGGCGAAAGCCUGAUGCAGCGACGCCGCGUGGGGGAUGAAGGCCUUCGGGUUGUAAACUUCUUUUGCUCUGAACAAGGCGCACCAUGGGGUGUGUUGAGUGUAGGGGUUGAUUAGCGCCGGCUAACUACGUGCCAGCAGCCGCGGUAAUACGUAGGGCGCGAGCGUUGUCCGGAAUUAUUGGGCGUAAAGGGCUUGUAGGUGGCUGGUUGCGUCUGUCGUGAAAGCUCAUGGCUUAACUGUGGGUUUGCGGUGGGUACGGGCUGGCUUGAGUGCAGUAGGGGAGGCUGGAAUUCCUGGUGUAGCGUGGAAUGCGCAGAUAUCAGGAGGAAUACCGGUGGCGAAGGCGGGUCUCUGGGCUGUUACUGACACUGAGGAGCGAAAGCAUGGGGAGCGAACAGG